rnacentral:rRNA from 1 species
AGCGAACGCUGGCGGCAGGCCUAACACAUGCAAGUCGAACGAACUCUUCGGAGUUAGUGGCGGAGGGGUGAGUACCACGUGGGAACGUGCCUUUAGGUUCGGAAUAACUCAGGGAAACUUGUGCUAAUACCGAAUGUGCCCUUCGGGGGAAAGAUUUAUCGCCUUUAGAGCGGCCCGCGUCUGAUUAGCUAGUUGGUGAGGUAAAGGCUCACCAAGGCGACGAUCAGUAGCUGGUCGGAGAGGAUGAUCAGCCACAUUGGGACUGAGACACGGCCCAAACUCCUACGGGAGGCAGCAGUGGGGAAUCUUGCGCAAUGGGCGAAAGCCUGACGCAGCCAUGCCGCGUGAAUGAUGAAGGUCUUAGGAUUGUAAAAUUCUUUCACCGGGGACGAUAAUGACGGUACCCGGAGAAGAAGCCCCGGCUAACUUCGUG